rnacentral:rRNA from 1 species
UACGAAGGGGGCUAGCGUUGUUCGGAAUUACUGGGCGUAAAGCGUGCGCAGGCGGCUUCUCAAGUCGGGGGUGAAAGCCCAGAGCUCAACUCUGGAAUUGCCUUUGAGACUGAGUGGCUUGAGUACGGGAGAGGUGAGUGGAAUUCCCAGUGUAGAGGUGAAAUUCGUAGAUAUUGGGAAGAACACCGGUGGCGAAGGCGGCUCACUGGCCCGUAACUGACGCUCAUGCACGACAGCGUGGGGAGCAAACAGG